rnacentral:tRNA from 1 species
UAGCUCAGUGGUAGAGCACUUGCCUAGCAUGCAGGAAGGCCUGGGUUCCACCCCCAG